CCGAGGAAAAGAAAUCAACCGAGAUUCCCCCAGUAGCGGCGAGCGAACGGGGAGCAGCCCAGAGCCUGAAUCAGUGUGUGUGUUAGUGGAAGCGUCUGGAAAGGCGCGUGAUACAGGGUGACAGCCCCGUACACAAAAAUGCACAUGCUGUGAGCUCGAUGAGUAGGGCGGGACACGUGGUAUCCUGUCUGAAUAUGGGGGGACCAUCCUCCAAGGCUAAAUACUCCUGACUGACCGAUAGUGAACCAGUACCGUGAGGGAAAGGCGAAAAGAACCCCGGCGAGGGGAGUGAAAAAGAACCUGAAACCGUGUACGUACAAGCAGUGGGAGCACGCUUAGGCGUGUGACUGCGUACCUUUUGUAUAAUGGGUCAGCGACUUAUAUUCUGUAGCAAGGUUAACCGAAUAGGGGAGCCGAAGGGAAACCGAGUCUUAACUGGGCGUUAAGUUGCAGGGUAUAGACCCGAAACCCGGUGAUCUAGCCAUGGGCAGGUUGAAGGUUGGGUAACACUAACUGGAGGACCGAACCGACUAAUGUUGAAAAAUUAGCGGAUGACUUGUGGCUGGGGGUGAAAGGCCAAUCAAACCGGGAGAUAGCUGGUUCUCCCCGAAAGCUAUUUAGGUAGCGCCUCGUGAAUUCAUCUCCGGGGGUAGAGCACUGUUUCGGCAAGGGGGUCAUCCCGACUUACCAACCCGAUGCAAACUGCGAAUACCGGAGAAUGUUAUCACGGGAGACACACGGCGGGUGCUAACGUCCGUCGUGAAGAGGGAAACAACCCAGACCGCCAGCUAAGGUCCCAAAGUCAUGGUUAAGUGGGAAACGAUGUGGGAAGGCCCAGACAGCCAGGAUGUUGGCUUAGAAGCAGCCAUCAUUUAAAGAAAGCGUAAUAGCUCACUGGUCGAGUCGGCCUGCGCGGAAGAUGUAACGGGGCUAAACCAUGCACCGAAGCUGCGGCAGCGACGCUUAUGCGUUGUUGGGUAGGGGAGCGUUCUGUAAGCCUGUGAAGGUGUACUGUGAGGUAUGCUGGAGGUAUCAGAAGUGCGAAUGCUGACAUAAGUAACGAUAAAGCGGGUGAAAAGCCCGCUCGCCGGAAGACCAAGGGUUCCUGUCCAACGUUAAUCGGGGCAGGGUGAGUCGACCCCUAAGGCGAGGCCGAAAGGCGUAGUCGAUGGGAAACAGGUUAAUAUUCCUGUACUUGGUGUUACUGCGAAGGGGGGACGGAGAAGGCUAUGUUGGCCGGGCGACGGUUGUCCCGGUUUAAGCGUGUAGGCUGGUUUUCCAGGCAAAUCCGGAAAAUCAAGGCUGAGGCGUGAUGACGAGGCACUACGGUGCUGAAGCAACAAAUGCCCUGCUUCCAGGAAAAGCCUCUAAGCAUCAGGUAACAUCAAAUCGUACCCCAAACCGACACAGGUGGUCAGGUAGAGAAUACCAAGGCGCUUGAGAGAACUCGGGUGAAGGAACUAGGCAAAAUGGUGCCGUAACUUCGGGAGAAGGCACGCUGAUAUGUAGGUGAAGUCCCUCGCGGAUGGAGCUGAAAUCAGUCGAAGAUACCAGCUGGCUGCAACUGUUUAUUAAAAACACAGCACUGUGCAAACACGAAAGUGGACGUAUACGGUGUGACGCCUGCCCGGUGCCGGAAGGUUAAUUGAUGGGGUUAGCGCAAGCGAAGCUCUUGAUCGAAGCCCCGGUAAACGGCGGCCGUAACUAUAACGGUCCUAAGGUAGCGAAAUUCCUUGUCGGGUAAGUUCCGACCUGCACGAAUGGCGUAAUGAUGGCCAGGCUGUCUCCACCCGAGACUCAGUGAAAUUGAACUCGCUGUGAAGAUGCAGUGUACCCGCGGCAAGACGGAAAGACCCCGUGAACCUUUACUAUAGCUUGACACUGAACAUUGAGCCUUGAUGUGUAGGAUAGGUGGGAGGCUUUGAAGUGUGGACGCCAGUCUGCAUGGAGCCGACCUUGAAAUACCACCCUUUAAUGUUUGAUGUUCUAACGUGGACCCGUAAUCCGGGUUGCGGACAGUGUCUGGUGGGUAGUUUGACUGGGGCGGUCUCCUCCUAAAGAGUAACGGAGGAGCACGAAGGUUGGCUAAUCCUGGUCGGACAUCAGGAGGUUAGUGCAAUGGCAUAAGCCAGCUUGACUGCGAGCGUGACGGCGCGAGCAGGUGCGAAAGCAGGUCAUAGUGAUCCGGUGGUUCUGAAUGGAAGGGCCAUCGCUCAACGGAUAAAAGGUACUCCGGGGAUAACAGGCUGAUACCGCCCAAGAGUUCAUAUCGACGGCGGUGUUUGGCACCUCGAUGUCGGCUCAUCACAUCCUGGGGCUGAAGUAGGUCCCAAGGGUAUGGCUGUUCGCCAUUUAAAGUGGUACGCGAGCUGGGUUUAGAACGUCGUGAGACAGUUCGGUCCCUA
rnacentral:rRNA from 1 species